UACGGAGGGUGCGAGCGUUGUCCGGAAUCACUGGUCGUAAAGGGCGCGUAGGCGGCCUGAUAAGUAGGGGGUGAAAUCCUGCGGCUUAACCGCAGGGCUGCCUUCUAAACUGUCAGGCUUGAGCACAGUAGAGGCAGGUGGAAUUCCCGGUGUAGCGGUGGAAUGCGUAGAGAUCGGGAAGAACAUCAGUGGCGAAGGCGGCCUGCUGGGCUGUUGCUGACGCUGAGGCGCGACAGCGUGGGGAGCAAACAGG
rnacentral:rRNA from 1 species